CUUGAUUGUUCUUUUGCAAGUGGAUCUAGUGUAGUGCACCGGUUUCCUGAAUGUAUCAGCGAUUAUUUCUGUAAUCCUGAUAGUUAGAAAGUAGCCUCUGUAGUUUUCUCAAAGCUUUUUCACUUCUUAUCAUGAGAGCAAAGUGGCGUAAGAAGCGUAUGCGGAGGCUAAAGCGUAAAAGGAGGAAGAUGCGUGCGAGGUCCAAAUAAAAUGGUACAUUGGUGGGAGUCUUGGAAGUUAAAUACUAGUGCUACUGCUUGUGUAUCAAAUAAAAACAAAAAAACUUA